UGCACCACGGAAGACCCUACCAAUGGCGCCGA
rnacentral:piRNA from 1 species